ACAAAUCCCAAACUAUUGAACAAGCCACUGCAAAAUGUCUAGUAAAAAAAAGGCCUUGUAUUUAUGUUUAAGACAUAAAAUCGCUGAAAAACAUGUAUUAUGUGAGGAGAUUAUUCUGGAAUGACAGAGAUGAGUUGAAAAGCCCUUUGGCGGGAUUUGUAAUCUGAGAUUCCAGCAUUGGGCAUAGAUUCAGUUUAAUCCCUGCUGAAGGCAAAAUACAGUUAUUGGAAACUUCUCACCUCAUCAUAACCAUUUUCAAGCAUCACAUAAAAGCUCACCUCACCAAUAUAAAAUCCUCAGCAUUUUUUUUAACAAAGGGGAUCAUCUUACCUUAUGGUCUCCUUAUUGAAUUCUGUGCCUCUCUGUGGUAGAUAUGCUAUAUGUAGUGAACAAUGUAACAUUGUUGUGAAGGUGCACUAGCACUCUACCCUUGGGCUAGUCUGUGAAGGAGCAUGAUUUGAUUGACAGACAGUUUCUGUGGGGGUAAGUAAUAAAGUCAGAGUCAGAAACAGUACAGCAGCAUAACUGCCUACCCCCUCCUGUGUGGCUGAACAGAAAUACAAGAUAUUCUUUUUCAGUUUUCUCUGAAAGGUGAAAAAUGCACUUUCUUGAUAAAAAAAAAAAAGUUUUUAAAAAGUGAUUGAUACUUAAGCAUAGGCAAAGCCGAGUAACAUUUAAAGAGAUCAGAUUUCACAAGCUUCAGCCAAAAAAAAAUAAAAAAUGUGAAGUAAAUGAGUAAAAUCAAAUCAAUUAUAUUAUCCACCUGCAAAAAAAUGGACCUCUUUUGCUUGCUUCGUUAAAGAUAUCAACGUAGAAGUGCUCUACAAUGUGGUACACUACUGGAGCACACAUGGAAAAUUUUUCAGACACACAGAGACACUCAUCUUCUGUGUCCUGCAUCUGGAAGUUGCUCCAUGAAAAGUGGCUUCUUCCUGCUCUCACUGGAAACAUUUUCCAACCAGUGAGGGCUUCUUCUGGGAGCUGGCCCACAUCCAGGAACACUCAGAUUCACAGCUGUCUUACAGCGUUUAAAUGCAGCAUAUGGUACCAAAGUACCAUUGUUUCACCACUAAAGACCCUGUUUUUUCAUCAUGGAAGAAAGGCCAUUUAAUGUCAGCUUCACUUGGAGAGAAGAAAGAAGUUUUGAAAAUGCAAACUGGGCUGUGAGAAAGAGCGAUGUCGUUUUUUUUCUCAGACCAUCACUAAUUUUGGCAGUGAUGACAUUUUGAUUCUCAGUCUGUGAGUUUGUGAAACAACACCAUCUGUGUGCUUUCCUCUA
ensembl:lncRNA